CAAUGGGGGAAACCCUGAUGCAGCCAUGCCGCGUGUGUGAAGAAGGGCCUUCGGGUUGUAAAGCACUUUCAGGUAGGGAGGAAGGUAGUGUAGUUAACACCUGCACUAUUUGACGUUUACCUACAGAAGAAGCACCGGCUAACUCCGUGCCAGCAGCCGCGGUAAUACGGAGGGUGCGAGCGUUAAUCGGAAUUACUGGGCGUAAAGCGCAUGCAGGCGGCCUGUUAAGUCAGAUGUGAAAGCCCCGGGGCUUAACCUCGGAAUUGCAUUUUGAAACUGGCAGGCUAGAGUCUUGUAGAGGGGGUAGAAUUUCAGGUGUAGCGGUGAAAUGCGUAGAGAUCUGAAGGAAUACCAGUGGCGAAGGCGGCCCCCUGGACAAAGACUGACGCUCAGAUGCGAAAGCGUGGGGAGCAAACAGGAUUAGAUACCCUCGGUAG
rnacentral:rRNA from 1 species